UACGUAGGAUGCAAGCGUUGUUCGGAAUUACUGGGCGUAAAGAGUACGUAGGCGGUUUGGUAAGUCUGAUAUUAAAGACUGGGGCUCAACUCCAGGAGUGUAUCGGAAACUGUCAGACUAGAGGACAAUAGAGGAAGUCGGAAUUCUCAGUGUAGCGGGUGAAAUGCGUAGAUAUUGGGAAGAACACCAGUGGCGAAAGCGGACUUCUGGGUUGUUACUGACGCUGAGGUACGAAAGCGUGGGGAGCAAACAGG
rnacentral:rRNA from 1 species